CUCCCCGCAACCAUCACACUCGGAAAACUUUGGAAAACUUUGUCCAGCGGGAGCCUCUCUCGGACCAGGCAAGUAACACGAAUGGAUGGAUCAGGCAGGUGCUUCCCAUAACUGUGCUGAUUCCAGAGAAAAGCAGAUGAAGCAGUCUAUCUCUGAGUUCUCAGACCUGCCUUUUGCGGAAGCUGUGCAGGAGGUGAAUAGAUACGUCUUGCUUUAUUCUUCAUCGCUGCUCACGGUUCCCAGAAUAGGAGGUAGAAGACCAGCACUAUAGUCCUGGAGACGUCAGCGGCAGUCGGUGCUCUACUAAGUAUGACUCCUCUAAAAUGUGAAUGAUGACCAAUGACAUCAAUGUCCCUUUCAGCUCUAAGAUUUUAAAUCUAGAGAAUUCCUUAUUAGCAAGUACACAGCUAUGAGACAGAGAGAGUGGUUCUCAUUGCUUUACAGGAAUGAGGCGAUACAAUGGCGGACCGUGAGGAAUCGUGGAGAACAGCACCGUUCCUUUAUCUUACAGAGGAGGAAAUUGGGGUCCAGAAAGAUUCACGGUCAUUUGUAAAGCUCCCAUGAACAGGGCUUCGGUUCAAAACAAGCCCCUGGCUUCUAGCGCACGUUUCUUUCUACUGCAUGGUACCAUUUAAUCAUCAGCUGGUGGAGAACUGACAUCUAUGAGAACAGAA